AUGAUCACUGUAUUCUUUCGAGUAUUCCGUGUAAUAAUUUCUUUACUUUCACUUCUCCCAUUAAGCUUUCAAAUGACAUUUCAAUUAUUAUCAAUUAUUGUUCAAUAUUUUUCUGCGAACAAACGUCAUAAAAACAAAAGAAAAGAAUAAAAAGAAGGAGUAGAACAGAGAAGAAAAAAAAAACAGAAAAAAAGAAGAAGAAGACGAAGAAGGAAGAAGACAAAUCUUCGACCUUAAUAUCACGACGACGAAACCUUCGAUCUUCCAUCUCCGACACGAUAAUCCGAAAGAAUAUGUACAUCCUACUGGUAAUCUCUCUGGUGUGGGAGGGGGUUGAAAAGGGGGAAAUGGUGGGAUAGCAGGCAGAAAGUCGUCAGUUCAGCAGAAGCUUCCUAAGAAAGCCAAGACGAGGACGAGAAAGAACUCGACAAUGCAAAAGACGGUAAGACUCUAUAGAAACGUCGUGUACGUACGUAAAACUUCUCUGUGGCACGAUUUGCGAUUUCCUUCGCACAUACAUACAUACUAGACGUAUACAGAUAUCUAACAUACAAGUAUAAAGAAAGAGAGAGAAAGAGAGAGAGAGAAGGAGAGAGAAAUAGAAAGGAUAGUAAUAUAUAGGUACCUAUAUGUAAGAGAGAGAGAGAGAGAGAGAGAGAGAGAGAGAGAGAGAGAGAGAGAGAGAGAGAGAGAGAGAGACGAAAGUCGCGAGACGGUGUCGGUGAAAUCACGAAGUGGGAAUCUCUACCGAGAAGAAGGUGUCCGCGUCUCUCCUUCUUUCAAUGUAUGCACGCGUACAAAUAAGGCGUCCGGAGGAGACAAAUGACGCGGAGAGGGAUCAGCGUGGCCCGACACAAAGCAUCCCCUGAGCACCCUUCCCGAGUCGGAGGUGACGUCACUGACAAUGGAAGGUCGAGCUGUGAUUAAAGAUCGAGAGACUCCGUAAAAACUCCUUGAAAAGUGCCGUGGAGGUGGUGGAGGAGGAUGACUACGAUAGAGAGAGAGAGAGAGAGAGAGAGAGGACAGGCGGACCUACCGGCGUGAAAUAUUGCCUCCGUGCCACCCGACAGCUAUAUGACAUUUCCGAAGGGCAUGGAAGAAUUCUCGCGACUCUCUUUCUCUCUCUCUCUCUUUCAGACUCAAUCUCUGGUAUUCUUUGCCUCCCACUCUCCACAUUUUAUUCCCGGAUAACCUUCCCUUCGUCGUCUUCGACUUUCUUCCUCUUCCAUUUUUCCUUUUUUUUUCUUUUCUUCCUUUUUUCCACGACUUCGAUUAAUUUCGAAUGAAAACGCUCGGAACGUUCUGCUCGUUAAGCUGAACUAUCUCUAUCUUUUGCUCUCUCUCUCUCUCUCUCUCUUUCUCUCUUUAUUUCUGCAGAGGUGAGGAUUAGCUUGAAGUGAAUCAGCGUGAUACCGGAAGGGGGUUGUGGGGUGCGAGGAUUCGUCGAGUAUCACGACAAGAAGAAGUCCUAGUGAAAAUAAGGAAAGAUGGAGGCCGUCGUGCAAAGAGUAAGCGACCGCGAGAAUGAGAAAGAGAGAGAGAGAGAGAGAGAGAGAGAGAGAAAGGGAGAGAAAGAAACAGAAAAAGAGAGAGAGAGAGAGAGAGCGAGGAAGUUCAUUACGAUCGUCCGUAGGCCACGAUCGCGCCUUGAUAACUCCUGAUUACGGCGAGGGAUACGCGCGCUCACGAGACUGUGCGCGCGAGCAUGCCGGACUCGUCGGCGAGAAAGAGAAGAAGAAGAAAAGGUGGUAGUGGUGCUGCUGUUGGUGAAGGAAGAAGAGGUGAAAGAGGAGGAGGAGGAGGAGGAGGAAGAAGUUGCUUUAUCGCUCGUCUCAACUCCGAAGAACGGGAAUCCUCGCGAUCUGUGCACCUUUCGAGUUUUAUCCUUCGCCACGGUGAGCGGUUAAUUUCGCAUCGAACGAAGUCCUUUCAAGCGAACUGGAUAACGGAAGUGUCCGUGUCAUCGUUCUCAUAUAUUAACCGUAAUCGCCUCGAUGAUUUUUCUGACUAACGAUAAAUUCGUUUAACAAAUCGAGAAACGUAUCGAGUAAAAUUUUCUUUCGACGAUGUAGUCAUUUCAAGAUAAAUUUCAAUUUCUUAUUUUAG